rnacentral:rRNA from 1 species
GCUUACGGGUAGCUGGUCUGAGAGGAUGGUCAGCCACACUGGGACUGAGACACUGCCCAGACUCCUACGGGAGGCUGCAGUCGAGGAUCAUUCACAAUGCGCGAAAGCGUGAUGAUGCGACGCUGCGUGGAGGAUGAAGGCCUUCGGGUCGUAAACUCCUGUCAUGCGGGAAAAAUUGUUCGUGUGUUAAUAACACUCGGACUUGAUGGUACCGCAAGAGGAAGCCACGGCUAACUCUGUGCCAGCAGCCGCGGUAGUACAGAGGUGGCAAGCGUUUCGGAUUUACUGGGCGUAAAGGGUGCGUAGGCGGUAUCGUAUGUCGGGUGUGAGAUCCCACGGCCCAACCGUGGAACUGCAUCCGAAACUACGGAACUAGAGUGCAGGAGGGGAGAGUGGAAUUCUUGGUGUAGCGGUGAAAUGCGUUGAUAUCAAGAAGAACACCGGUGGCGAAGGCGGCUCUCUGGAAUGUUACUGACGCUGAGGCACGAAAGCUGGGGGAGCAAACAGGAUUAGAUACCCUGGUAGUCCCAGCCGUAAACGGUGCGCACUUGGUGUUGGCGGUAUUGACCCCGCCAGUGCCGGAGCUAACGCGUUAAGUGCGCCGCCUGGGGAGUACGGCCGCAAGGUUAAAACUCAAAGAAAUUGACGGGGGCCCGCACAAGCGGAGGAGCAUGUGGCUUAAUUCGAUGCAACGCGAAGAACCUUACCAGGGCUUGACAUGUAACUGCUCAUCCUGUGAAAGCAGGACUCUUUCGAAGGUGUUACACAGGUGCUGCAUGGCUGUCGUCAGUUCGUGCCGUGAGGUGUUGGGUUAAGUCCCGCAACGAACGCAACCCCUGUGUCUAGUUGCCACCGGUGGUGAUGAGCCACCGAGCACUCUAGACAGACUGCCCGUACAAGCGGGAGGAAGGUGGGGAUGAGGUCAAGUCAGUAUGGCCCUUACGCCCUGGGCUGCACACGUGCUACAAUGGUCGGUACAAAGGGAUGCAAGACCGCGAGGUGGAGCAAAUCCCCAAAGCCGGCCCCAGUUCGGAUUGGAGUCUGCAACUCGACUCCAUGAAGUCGGAUUCGCUAGUAACGGCGUAUCAGCUACGACGCCGUGAAUACGUUCCCGGGCCUUGUACACACCGCCCGUCACAUCAUGAAAGUCGUCUGCACCAGAAGUCGCUAAGCUAACCCGUAAGGGAGGCAGGUGCCGAAGGUGUGGGUGAUGAUUGGGAUGAAGUCGAAACAAGGUA